AUGAACGAGAAGCGCGGGCUGGAGGCCGCCGCCGCCGGCGACGGCCGCCCUGAGGCCAAGCGGUCGCGGCCCCCGGCUCUUGCCAGUGUUAUUGUUGAAGCACUAAAGGUGGAUAGUCUGCAGAGGCUUUGCUCAUCAUUGGAACCAAUUCUCCGUAGAGUGGUUAGUGAAGAAGUGGAGCGCGCCUUGGGAAAACUUGGUCCUGCUGCAAUCACUGGGAGGUCUUCUCCAAAGCGAAUUGAAGGGCCUGGUGGAAGAAAUCUGCAACUCCAAUUCAGGACAAGAUUGUCCCUUCCCCUUUUUACCGGAGGAAAAGUUGAAGGGGAGCAGGGGGCUGCAAUUCAUGUUGUUUUGCUUGAUACCGGCAAUGGCUGUGUUGUAUCAUCUGGGCUGGAGUCGUCUUCCAAGCUUGAUAUUGUUGUUCUAGAAGGUGAUUUCAACAAUGAGGACGAGGAAGGCUGGACAGAGGAGGAAUUUGACAGUCAUAUAGUGAAGGAGCGUGAGGGAAAACGACCUAUUAUAACUGGCGAUAUACAAGUCACACUGAAAGAAGGUGUUGGCACAAUCGGGGAGUUCACGUUCACAGAUAACUCUAGCUGGAUAAGGAGUAGGAAAUUCAGACUUGGUUUGAAAAUUGCCUCAGGGUUUUGUGAGGGUGUUCGCAUCCGUGAGGCAAAAACUGAAGCUUUUAUGGUUAAGGACCAUAGAGGAGAAUUGUACAAGAAGCAUUAUCCACCUGCAUUGAAGGAUGAGGUCUGGAGGUUAGAGAAAAUAGGAAAAGAUGGGUCAUUCCAUAAGAGGCUGAAUAAAUCUGGAAUUUUAACUGUUGAAGAUUUUCUUAGGCUUGUGGUUCGGGAUCCACAGAAGCUGCGUACUAUCCUCGGAAGUGGCAUGUCCAACAAGAUGUGGGAUUCCCUCGUUGAACAUGCAAAAACCUGUGUCUUGAGUGGAAAAUAUUACAUAUACUAUUCUGAUGAGAACAGAACUGCUGGUGCUAUUUUCAACGACCUCUAUGCAUUCUGUGGGCUGAUUUCUGGCGAGCAAUUCUAUUCGUCUGAGAGUCUUGAUGAUGGCCAAAAGCAUUUUGCUGAUGGGCUGGUGAAGAAAGCAUAUGAUAAUUGGAUGUAUGUUAUUGAAUAUGAUGGCAAAGCUCUCUUGAACCCUAAACCGAAGAAAAAGGCUGCAUUAACUAAUCAAGCUGAGGCUCGUGCUCCUGCUGCAUAUGUACAGUGCAUUUCUUCAACGAGUAUGCCAGGACCAUCUACAACAGGCACAAAUGGUUCUAUAGGGUAUGAUGGCAACCAGACAGCAACACAGUCUGUUCAGCUUCAGAGUUCAUCUGCUAAUGUGCCUGUGCCAUAUGACGACGCCUUUUCAUUUUUGCCGCCUACCAUGUUGAUGGGGUCUAAUCAGGGAACAGCAACUGAUGGCAUGGGUCUGGAACUCGGCCAGUUGCAUCACACAAUUUCUCAACGUCAACCAAUUCAGCCAGCAAACGUCGGCUACGAUAAUUGGCAUCACAACCGUGAUGGUCAGUAUGCUGAUGAUUUCACUGAAGACAUUCGCAUGAAAAGCCACCAACUGCUCGAGGGUGACGACAUGCAGCAGCUGCUCAGGAUCUUCAAUAUGGGCGGAGCUUCUACUGGUUUGCCAGACGAAACAUUUUCCUUCCCUGACAUUCCAUCUCCAUUCCCAAACCCAGACUCUGAAGGUGAGCCCAGCCGUCCAUCGGGCAAAGCCGUUGUCGGGUGGCUCAAGAUAAAGGCUGCUAUGAGAUGGGGAAUAUUUGUCAGGAAGAAAGCUGCCGAGAGAAGGGCGCAGAUUGUUGAGCUGGAGGAUUAA
rnacentral:rRNA from 1 species